CACCCGGAGCGCGGGGCCGGGCGGGGGCAGGAAGCGAGGAUGAUUCAUGCGCCGGGGCCUCUCCCAGGGCGGCCGUUGGCUUUUUUUAAAAAGGGUGUUCGGGGCGGGGGGGGGGGCUUGCAGAGGUCCCCCCCUCGGGUUCAAGCGCUCCUCUCUUCGGUUGCUCCGACGCCAAGCCUCCCUGUCCCAGUCCUGCAGCAGCCUGACUUCAGACGAAACUAAAAAUAUCUGGAGCAAAGGCAGCCAACAUUUGACAGAACUGGGUGGCCCGUCCAUAGCUGUUCUCGGAAGACCUUCUCCUUCUCAAGCUCAAAACAUUUUCUCUGUUUUUUGUAUGUUUAAAAUAUUUGGAAAUUUCCUUUAUUUGUUUUUAGUCAUUUCUACACCCAGCGUGUGACUCGAACUCAGCCAGCCAGGCGCCCCUGAAAUAUUGGGUAAUUUUAAAGAUCUUGAUGAGAGCGCAAAGAGGGGUUGGUAAUCACACUAGCUGUCACGUAUGUGGGGCCAUCAUGGUUACCAUGUCCUAACAUGUCUGUCACGGAGGCCUGCCAGAGAUUGGGACCCUGGCAGGGCACCCUCCAGACCUAUUUCCUAGGGAGAAUAUGGAGGCCAGGUGAUGUGAUUUGUCCAGGGUCACAUGCAGGAGGGAGGGAGGAGCGGUCCCCUUCUCCGCAACUGUGUCUCUGCACCUGCCUGUCCCAGGAGACGACAAAAGGCCAAAGGACCUCCAGGGGAGGUCACCCUCCCUGCUGUAUUCAACUUUCUCCGUAUACUGCGCUGUUCUAGUUUUUCCUAUUAAGGAUAACUUGGAAAAUAGGGAACGGCACAGGAAGAAAUAAAAGUCACUUGUGAUUUUC